UGGCGGACGGGUGAGUAAUGUCUGGGAAACUGCCCGAUGGAGGGGGAUAACUACUGGAAACGGUAGCUAAUACCGCAUAACGUCGCAAGACCAAAGAGGGGGACCUUCGGGCCUCUUGCCAUCGGAUGUGCCCAGAUGGGAUUAGCUAGUAGGUGGGGUAACGGCUCACCUAGGCGACGAUCCCUAGCUGGUCUGAGAGGAUGGCCAGCCACACUGGAACUGAGACACGGUCCAG
rnacentral:rRNA from 1 species